rnacentral:rRNA from 1 species
GGGCCCGCACAAGUGGUGGAGCAUGUGGUUUAAUUCGAUGCAACGCGAAGAACCUUACCAACCCUUGAAAUCUAGCGAAGUUCACAGAGAUGAGAAUGUGCCUUCGGGAACGCUAUGACAGGUGUUGCAUGGCUGUCGUCAGCUCGUGUCGUGAGAUGUAUGGUUAAGUCCCGUAACGAGCGCAACCCUUGUCCUUAGUUGCCAGCACAUUAUGGUGGGAACUCUAAGGAGACUGCCGGUGACAAACCGGAGGAAGGUGGGGACGACGUCAAGUCCUCAUGGCCCUUACGUGUUGGGCUACACACGUGCUACAAUGGUAUCUACAACAGGAAGCAAAACUGCGAGGUUAAGCAAAUCCUUAAAAGAUACCUCAGUUCGGAUUGCACUCUGCAACUCGAGUGCAUGAAGCUGGAAUUACUAGUAAUCG